rnacentral:tRNA from 1 species
UCAAAUUUUGCCCUAAAUAAAACGCUAUCCACCGCUAAGGGGAGGCAAGUCGUAACAUGGUAAGUGUACCGGAAGGUGCACUUGGAA